UCGAUGGGAAACAGGUUAAUAUUCCUGUACUUGGUGUUACUGCGAAGGGGGGACGGAGAAGGCUAUGUUGGCCGGGCGACGGUUGUCCCGGUUUAAGCGUGUAGGCUGGUUUUCCAGGCAAAUCCGGAAAAUCAAGGCCGAGGCGUGAUGACGAGGCACUACGGUGCUGAAGCAACAAAUGCCCUGCUUCCAGGAAAAGCCUCUAAGCAUCAGGUAACAUCAAAUCGUACCCCAAACCGACACAGGUGGUCAGGUAGAGAAUACCAAAGCGAUCGAGCGAAUCCUGGUCAAGGAACUCGGCAAAUUGCUCCCGUGCCUUCGGCAUAAGGGAGACCCCCUGGGGUGACGCGCCUUGCGCGCUGGCUCCGGGGGGUGGCACAGACCAGGGGGUAGCGACUGUUUACCAAAAACACAGGUGCAUGCGAAGACGCAAGUCGCUGUAUAUGCACUGACGCCUGCCCGGUGCCGGAAGGUUAAGAGGA
rnacentral:rRNA from 1 species